rnacentral:rRNA from 1 species
UACGUAGGGCGCAAGCGUUGUCCGGAUUUAUUGGGCGUAAAGAGCGUGUAGGCGGCUAGAUAGGUCCGUUGUGAAAACUCGAGCUCAACCUCGAGACGCCGGUGGAAACCAUCUAGCUAGAGUCCGGAAGAGGAGAGUGGAAUUCCUGGUGUAGCGGUGAAAUGCGCAGAUAUCAGGAAGAACACCCGUGGCGAAGGCGGCUCUCUGGGACGUGACUGACGCUGAGACGCGAAAGCGUGGGGAGCGAACAGG